ensembl:lncRNA
GCAAGACUAAAAACAGAUGAUUUUUGAUCACAAGACUAGUAUGGUACAGCUCUACAUUCCCACCCAUUCAAGUCAACGAUGACAGGCCUAAGUCAGGCAGUACUGUGGAGCACUGUGACAGCCUUCUCCUUUUAGUUAGUUGAAAUGAAAGCAUCACUGGAGUCAGAGGCCAGGGAAACUGAUAUUCUUGAAAUGAUACUUCCCUGAACCCGUGAUUUUAUUGAUGGUCUUGUACAAUUCAUAAUCCUCUGGAAUGUUAUGGGCUACUCAGAGAGGUUGUAGAGUCUCCUCUGCGGGUACCCAAAACCAGCCUGGAUGCUUUCCUUUGCAACAUACUCUAGGAAACCUGCUUUAGCACAGAAGUCCCUUCUAACCCCUAUGAUUCUGCCAGUCUGUGAAUACUGAUUCAAGAGAGCAGAAAGUUAAAGCUGUCCCUAGUCUUGCUGAUCUUCAUAGGUACCAAGGAGAACACGAAGGUGGUCUGCAUUGGAAAACUAUAUGGAAAGGCUUGGUUGUCUUAGCAUUGCGUGUUUGAUAUCUUCACUGUAUUUUGGCAACAAUUUAUUUUACGAAUUUCAUGGUACAGAGCAGUCUGUGAGUAUGAAGGAAAGGACUACAGUGAGAUUUGGCUGUUCUUUGUUUUCAGUGGUGCUAUAGAGGCCAAAUUCCAUGACUGACUCCCUGUGCGUAUGCAGUGUGAAUUGCAAAUGCAGUGUUUAACUGUGCACUAUGUCAAAGUAUUUUUCGUACAUAGGUAUUUCACUGUGCAUAAACCUUUUUCUUUGUGGAUUUACAGAAAAAUGUAGUAAAAAGGGGUUAUGUGCUUAUUCUUGCUGCAUUUAUUUUGCUGAUAGAGACAGGGUUGUAAAGCAGAGUUCAGCAUCUUGGAUGCUAAUUUAGAGACUAAAAUAAUAUUCUUCUGUCCGCCCAGUUAUUCCUGUGAAAUACUGACAAAUCAUAUGACAGAUUUCACAGGUAGUCAUCAAUUGUGCUCUAGGUGUCUUGUUUUGUUUUUCCUCUUUGCAUACCUAAUUUCUUAUGUUGCAGUCUGACCUCUUGUAACUGAGAUCAGUAAGGGCUGUGCUUUGAGGGCUAGGUGUUCUGAAAUGUCACAUCUGAAACUGGAUGCACCAUAUCAUCAGGUAUUGCUGUUUAUAGCAACUUAUGUCCUUGGCUUCUGUCCAUAAAAUGAAGCAAAACCCACCCUCAUACUGCAAGUGAGAUAGAGUGAUGGUAAUGAAUUGCCACUAUGAAGUAUUUCUACAGAAAAGCUUGUGGGAGUGUAAAUAACGCAGUAUUCUGGGCAGAAUUUAAUCAUUAUUCAGUGAAAAGGCCUAAAGCCACUCACUCAUAGGAGAAUGGAGGUGAAAUUUUGAAAAACUUCUGAGAAGUCUGGCUUUGACUUUUGUAAGUCAAAGUGAGAUAAGGAUCUUGCAGAAUUAGUGAUCAAGUCCUUAAAGAGGCUACCACAAAUUAACUUCACAAGUUUAGGAAUAGGACCAGGCAGAGCAAACUAAGAGAGGCUUAUCCACUCUGUCUCCACUGUUUUCACCAUCAUGGCAGCACAUCUUUUCCAUGAAAGAACUAGUACAUGUCAGAAUUGUGUUGCUAGAAAGGACAGAUGCCAAGUAGUCAAUACAGUGCAGAACUAAUGAAAUCCUGACGUUAUAGGUUGUGAUUUUUUUAUAUAUAUAUAAAUGUUUCUACCUCCAGUAGAUGUGAUUUUCCUGGAUAAUGUUAAAGUAGCAACCUCCUGAUCAUGCUGCAGAGGAGGUAUGAGUCAGUGUUUAUGUGUAACUUUAGCCGGUGUAAACAACCGGUUUAUCUGCAUUAUGAAAGUGUUUUGCUGAUAUGGAGCAGCUGACAUGGCCUACAUUUAGAGCAUUUCCCCUAACCUUCCUUGAAGUAUUUGUUAGAUUCUGUCUGAUCAGAGAUCAAUCCAGUUUAAAAGUAACAACCCUCCUGUUCUUGUUACCUUCUGAGUUGAACUAAUUAUUUUGCUUUGCUCAGCAGUAACCAUUACUUUGCUUAGACCAUUCUCUUUUCCUUUUUCAUUAUCUAGAAAUAUGUCUUGCCCUCAUUAAAAGCUUUUGUAGGUUCUUUGGCAUGUAAUCAUUAAGUAAUAUAAAAGCAUCAGGGAAAGGUUUGGCAAAGAUGAAGGGAAGUUUCUAGUGAAGAGACACUGAGAGGUGAAAGAAAUGAAUAGGGUGGGCGACAAUGAAAGACCUAGAAACUAAGUUGUCUGAGGAAGGUAAAUACUGGUAAUGGAAAUUACUACCCCUUAGCAGUAAUACAGCAGCAUGUUCAGUUAAGUUCAAAAGUGGGGAACUUAAAAGUUAUUGACAAGAAUUUCUGUCACCAAUUGAUGUCAUAAUUGAAUUAAGAUACUUCUAAAGGACCAUAUCAAAGCCCAAAACUUCAGAAGAUACUGAAAUUAUGAAUGUUAAUAUUGCAAUAACAAUGGUAGGAGAGGUAAGGAGUGGCAAGUUUAUCACCCAAGCUUUUGUCCAAUUGUCAGUUUAAAGAUCUUGGUAAGACUAAAUGAGAGAAGGGAAGAGCACAAGAGAUUAAUCUAUUUGGUUCUUUCUAGAUACCCAUUUGAAACUGGCUAUAGACAUGAUCACCUUCAGGUACUUUCUAUACUGCCAUGAAUUGCUAAUUAAAACUAUUGGAUUAAGAAUGUGCUCAUAUUGGUGAGUUUCGUUAAUGACACUAAUACCUAGAAGCAAGAAGACAUGCAGAGAAAACAGCGCCAUUGUUGACUAUUGAAUACUGCAGAAUGCGAAUCCCUUCCUCUCCUUUAUUCCUUACAAUACAAGUAUAUACAUGUCUAUAACCAGUAUAUUGUAUAUAAUAUUAAUUUUAGUCAAAUCAGUCUCUUUGGAGAUAUGAGACACCACUGUGUGAUCUAGCUGCAGUUCUGAUUGUGUUAGCAUAGUUUGUUCUUCUGCCAGCCUUCAAUUAAAAGAAUAUUGCUUCCUACAAA